rnacentral:lncRNA from 1 species
UUGUAUCUUCUUCUUCUUGUUGCUGCUUCUGCUUGUAGUAGUACUACUCAAAUCGAUCCAGUCCAAGCUGCUGGUAGUGGUGGUGGAUGUCCUCCGGGUGGUCAUCAAUCUUUUGCCUCUCGGGCUGCGCCCAUCGCCCUUCCUGAGACCUCAUCAUGCCCUUGUUCUCGUCCUGCCUCCAGUUGGGCGGCACCAUGAGAUGCUCGUGUAGGAAGUCGCAGGACUUGUUCACCAGCGCCGGGUCUCGCCCGGUGGUCGGUGCAAACUUCCGACCCUUCCCCUGGAAUCUGCGAGCCCAAACCAGCAGGUGUUAGACCAAGACACGACUCUUGCAUUCAGGAGAAUAGCAGGGCGGGGGACCUCUAGCGAUGAGGGAUCGUACCCGUCCAAGAGAUGGAGAUGGGCUUCCAAAUUAUGGUAGUUGGAGGGGUCGAGGGAGUCCUUGAGGAAGGGCGAGUGCUUGUGGUCCAGAAGCAGCUCCACCCCGACGUGAACGUACCCGUCCAUCGCCCUCAGCAUGAACUCCGGCAUGUGCUCGUUGAUCAGCACGCCCGGCACCGUGGGCACCUUGUCGUGGACGUUCACCACCCGCAGCACCUUCAGCCCCAGCUUGUCGCACCGCUCCUUGAAGUGCUCGUUGCCCACCCUCGGCCCCCCGUAUGAGAACACCGCCAUCGGCACCUGCUUCCCGUCGGCCCCCUUGAUGAGCUCCAUCUCCGCGAUGUCGUACGCGUUCAGCGUCGCCAGCGCGCUGCCGAGGCUGUGCCCCGCCACCGUUAUGCUCACCUCCUCCCCGGCCUCGGUGUACUGGGCCACCAGCUUCCUCACCUCGGUCAGCACUUGCUCCCUAGCGGAGUACUUGCAGAACCGGCACGUCGAGUCCUUCUCGAUGUACAAGUCAACGAAGCCGGUCUCCACCUUGACCCGGGUGUCCGGGCAGGGGAUCCCCGCAGAUCUCACCGGCUGCAUCUUGGCCAUGAAGUCGUGGAUCCACUCCAGCCGCGUCACCGUCCCCCUCCACGCGAUCAGGAUGUCGCGGCGCCCCAGCCGGGCGGUGGUCUCGUCGUUGGACACCGAGACGUAGCCGAUCCAGUUGGCGCGCUCGCUCCACGUCCGGGAGCCCAUGACGGACUUGGCAAAGAACUUGGGCACCUUGACGUUGGAGGUGGCGUAGAGGUACCUGGUAACGUCGUAGCCGGCGCUUUCCAUGCCCAGGCUGUAGAAGAACUGGCGGCGGCUGUACUUGCAGCUGCCGCAGUAGCGGGAGAACUUGUCAUAGUCGAACGAGUCGUAGCAGGCCUGCACGAACUCGCCGUAGCGGAUGAGCUCCGUACGAAGGAGGGGGUCGAUCGGGUCCAGCAGGCCAGCCCAGUCGUCGCGGCCGUGGAUCACGCGCCACCGGUUGGCUAGACCGUCCUGCGGCUGGCGGGUAUCCACUUGCUCUGCUGUCUUCUGGAGCUCGAGGUCGGAGAUGAUCGCGGACAUGGAAUCUUCCCUGGCCGCCCUUGGUGGCUGAAUUCUCACUCCCCGGUUGAGGGUGCGCAGCACCGGCACCGGAGACGGCUUAACGAGGGAGAGGGACGGGAGAGGUGGACCGGGCUGAGAAGGGGAGCUGUGAAAGACGCCAGGGAACCAGACAGGGAGUGAAGACUGGGAAAUCGCCAUCGGAGGCGACGGCUUCGAGGGGCUCUGAGGGCGGGCUAUAGAAGGG